rnacentral:miRNA from 1 species
AACAGAGACUGAUCAAUUCC